rnacentral:rRNA from 1 species
AUUGAACGCUGGCGGCAGGCCUAACACAUGCAAGUCGAACGGUAACAGGAAGAAGCUUGCUUCUUUGCUGACGAGUGGCGGACGGGUGAGUAAUGUCUGGGAAACUGCCUGAUGGAGGGGGAUAACUACUGGAAACGGUAGCUAAUACCGCAUAACGUCGCAAGACCAAAAAGGGGGACCUUCGGGCCUCUUGCCAUCGGAUGUGCCCAGAUGGGAUUAGCUAGUAGGUGGGGUAACGGCUCACCUAGGCGACGAUCCCUAGCUGGUCUGAGAGGAUGACCAGCCACACUGGAACUGAGACACGGUCCAGACUCCUACGGGAGGCAGCAGUGGGGAAUAUUGCACAAUGGGCGCAAGCCUGAUGCAGCCAUGCCGCGUGUAUGAAGAAGGCCGUCGGGUUGUAAAGUACUUUCAGCGGGGAGGAAGGGAGUAAAGUUAAUACCUUUGCUCAUUGACGUUACCCGCAGAAGAAACACCGGCUAACUCCGU